rnacentral:rRNA from 1 species
ACAAGCAGCGGAGCGUGUGGUUUAAUUCGAUGCAACACGAAAAACCUUUACCAAGGUUUGACAUGUCGGAAGUAGUGAACCGAAAGGUGACCGACCCUUCGGGGAGCUUGCACAGGUGCUGCAUGGCUGUCGUCAGCUCGUGUCGUGAGAUGUUCGGUUAAGUCCGCUAACGAGCGCAACCCUCGCUGUGUGUUAUAUGUGUCACACGGGACUGCCGGUCUUAAGCCGGAGGAAGGUGGGGAUGAUGUCAAGUCAGCAUGGCCUUUAUAUCCUGGGCUACACACACGCUACAAUGGCCAACACAAUAGGUUGCUAAGCCGCGAGGUGGCGCCAAUCCAUAAAGUUGGUCUCAGUUCAGAUUGUAGGCUGCAACCCGCCUGCAUGAAGAUGGAGUUGCUAGUAACCGCAGGUCAGCUAUACUGCGGUGAAUACGUUCCCGGGGCUU